rnacentral:rRNA from 1 species
UACGAAGGGGGCUAGCGUUGCUCGGAAUCACUGGGCGUAAAGCGCACGUAGGCGGAUCUUUAAGUCAGGGGUGAAAUCCCAAGGCUCAACCUUGGAACUGCCUUUGAUACUGGGGAUCUCGAGUCCGGAAGAGGUGAGUGGAACUGCGAGUGUAGAGGUGAAAUUCGUAGAUAUUCGCAAGAACACCAGUGGCGAAGGCGGCUCUCUGGACCGAUACUGACGCUGAGGCGCGAAAGCGUGGGGAGCAAACAGGG